AUUGAACGCUGGCGGCAUGCUUUACACAUGCAAGUCGAACGGUAACAGGCCGCAAGGUGCUGACGAGUGGCGAACGGGUGAGUAAUGCAUCGGAACGUGCCCAGUCGUGGGGGAUAACUACUCGAAAGAGUAGCUAAUACCGCAUACGAUCUAUGGAUGAAAGCGGGGGACCGUAAGGCCUCGCGCGAUUGGAGCGGCCGAUGUCAGAUUAGGUAGUUGGUGGGGUAAAGGCUCACCAAGCCAACGGUCUGUAGCUGGUCUGAGAGGACGACCAGCCACACUGGGACUGAGACACGGCCCAGACUCCUACGGGAGGCAGCAGUGGGGAAUUUUGGACAAUGGGCGCAAGCCUGAUCCAGCAAUGCCGCGUGCAGGAAGAGGGCCUUCGGGUUGUAAACUGCUUUUGUACGGAACGAAACGGCUCUGGUUAAUACCCGGGGCUAAUGACGGUACCGUAAGAAUAAGCACCGGCUAACUACGUG
rnacentral:rRNA from 1 species